AGCAAACAGCGGAUGUGCAGUUCCUCUCUUCGCCGAACCCGGUUUUCCCUUUCGGAGCAGCGCGACCGAUUUCCGGUUUCCCCGCCGCAACCACCGUUACCCCCCCCCCGCCCCAAUCCCCGGCGACUCCAGCGACGUCACCGGUUCAGCUCCUGACCUUUCGGCGAACCGCAGAACCACAGGCGACCCGUUCGACGUCAUCACUCCCCGCCCAGAUGUCGCUGUGACAUCACCCCGCACGUGCCUGCGCUGGCACCGCGUCGUCCUGGCGAGCGCCUCCUCGCGGCGGAAGGAGAUCCUGGGGUUCGCUGUGCGAGACAUGUCGGCGGGGUUUCACGUGAGUGACACUUGGUCCCCACGGGAUUGACAGCGACUAGCGGAGUGGCAUGUGGACGUAGCUUCAGGUGACCUCACUGACCCCGCCCCUGACUCCACCCCUUGUGAUGACCCCACCACUGACCCACAGGCCUUGGAGGGGCUGAUCCUGGAGAAGUCAAAGGACCAGGAGGACGCCAUGGGGGGUGCUGUACAGGCUGAGCAGGAAGCAGAGCAGCACAGCGUCAUCAUGAGGGUAGCCAUCUUCACCUGGGGCAUCCACGGAGGAGGAGCUGAUCCACGACUACUUGGACAACAGCACACCAGCGAAGGAUGGUGAGGCCCUGCCCCCUGCCUGCACAUGACACUGCCCACGCCCUGUCUGAGACUCUACCAAGUGGUUCUGGGAUAAUAGAUUGAGGGGAUGGGGGCUGCAUACAUUUGCAUGAUUUUGCAUAUUUUGGGCUCAUUUGAAUAAAUUUGUAUAAGUUAACACC
ensembl:antisense Rab10os RAB10, member RAS oncogene family, opposite strand